rnacentral:rRNA from 1 species
AUUGAACGCUGGCGGAAUGCUUUACACAUGCAAGUCGAGCGGCAGCGCGGGGCAACCUGGCGGCGAGCGGCGAACGGGUGAGUAAUGCAUCGGAACAUGUCCAUGUCGUGGGGGAUAGCCCGGCGAAAGCCGGAUUAAUACCGCAUACGCCCGAGAGGGGAAAGCAGGGGGACCGCAAGGCCUUGCGCGAUUGGGUUGGCCGAUGUCCGAUUAGCUUGUUGGUGAGGUAAAGGCUUACCAAGGCGAUGAUCGGUAGCUGGUCUGAGAGGAUGAUCAGCCACACUGGGACUGAGACACGGCCCAGACUCCUACGGAGGCAGCAGUGGGGAAUUUUGGACAAUGGGGGGCAACCCCUGAUCCAGCCAUUCCGCGUGAGUGAAGAAGGCCUUACGGGUUGUUAAAGGACUCUUUUGUUCCGGUAGCGAAACGGGCGGACCCGUAAU